rnacentral:rRNA from 1 species
UACAGGGGGGGCAAGCGUUGUUCGGAAUUACUGGGCGUAAAGGGUCUGUAGGUGGCCAACUAAGUCAGACGUGAAAUCCCUCAGCUUAACUGGGGAACUGCGUCUGAUACUGGAUGGCUCGAGUGUGGGAGAGGAAUGCGGAAUUCCAGGUGUAGCGGUGAAAUGCGUAGAUAUCUGGAGGAACACCGGUGGCGAAGGCGGCAUCCUGGACCGGCAUUGACGCUGAGGCGCGAAAGCUAGGGGAGCAAAGCGGG